CCUUCCUACGGCGGCCGCCGCCCGCGCACCCCGCUCCACGCGGGCACGGCCGGGCCGGUUGAGCCGCAGCGGGGCCGGGAGGCGGCGGUGGGUCGCGUCGUCUCGCUCCCUCUCGCUCCUCCCCUGACCCUUCGCGGUACCCGCGGGAAAGGGCUGCACUGCGGGAGGCGCUCGCUCAAUGAGCGGCUGAGGGGCAGGAGAGGGCUAGCGGCUUUGCGGGCCGGCCGGCGUUGCUGACAGGGGAUCUCCCGGAGCCCCGGCCGGCGGGGCGGGGCGGUGGCGAGGGGAGGAGGCGGAUCCCCCGCCUUGGCUUCCCCGCGGCCGCCCCGGCUGGCGGCCCCUCGCGGCGGGCGGCAGGGCAUGUCCGCGGCGCAGGUGUCGGCGGCGCCCGCCGAGCGGCGAGGCUGGGGCGCUGAGGGCAACGAUGCGGCACUAGGCCGGACCCGGGGGACGGAGGAGCCUCAGCAGACGGAGCCCGGUUCGCCCCGUGGGCAGGAGGCCGCGGAGGAAGGCGGCCGGUGGCAGCUGGCGGUGGAAGCCCCGCCGCCCAAGGAGAACCCGUGGAAGAGGCGCAGACCCACACAAGACAGCCCUUCCCCGCCCGCGGCGGACGGGCAGCUUGAACCGCAGGACCCAGAACUACAAAAUUCCACUAAUGUUAUAAAAGCAGCCAAACCCAGGACAAGGAAAUGCAGCAAGGGUGAUGAUUUUGGUGAUAUCACAAACUGGCCAACACCAAGCGAAAUAGCAAACAAUGAAUGUAAGAGUAUAAGUCACAAUAAGAAGACAAUAAACAGAAGAGAAAGGGAGGAGAAAACUGAUCAAAAAAGCAAUAAUGGAAUCAAGGAUAACCUAGAGGCAAAGCCAGAUGGUCCAGGAGAAAAUAUCAGUGAAGAUGAAGCUCAAACUAAUAACCAAAGGAGAAAAGGUAACAAGCAGAAAUGGGUGCCACUUCACUUGAAUGAUGUAAGGUCAGACAGUCAAGAAAGACCAAGCUCUCGAACUAGUUCAAGAUUUUUGCUGGAAACAAACAAGUUAAUACCUCAUAACAACAGACGGAAUGAGACAAGAAAUUGGCGUCGUGAUAGAGAAAAGAGAGAUGAUCAGGAUGAAGUGUGCAGCGUGAGAAGCGAGAGUGGCAGCGUUCGAGGAUUUUCCAGAGGGAGAGGAAGAAGUAGAGGCAGAGGAAGAGGACGAGGCAGAGGAAACCCUAGAAUUAACUUUGAAUAUUCCGUUGGUUAUCAAGAGCUGUACAGUGAAGGAAUUGACCCAAUGUUUCACCCUGAGCUUAAUGCUAGCGUGAUGUAUUACUAUAGUGAUGGAACAGGAGUGCAGAUGUAUUCUGUGGAUGAAGCACUUCUCAAAGAAUAUAUAAAACAUCAAAUUGAGUAUUAUUUCAGCACAGAAAAUUUGGAAAGAGACUUCUUUCUGAGGAGAAAGAUGGACCAACAAGGAUUUCUGCCUGUUUCAUUGAUUGCUAGCUUCCGUCGGAUGCAAGCUCUGACUACAAAUGCUGCGCUCAUCUUGGAGGCCCUAAAGGACAGUACAGAAGUUGAAAUUGUGGAUCAGAGGAUAAGGAAAAGGGUUGAUCCAGAGAAGUGGCCAAUUCCAGGCCCUCCUCCAAGCAGUCUGCCACCGACUGACUUUUCUCAGCUCAUCAAUUGUCCGGAAUUCAUACCAGGCCAAACUUUUGGCUCACAUACUGAAUCUGCACCAAGUUCUCCAAGAAUGGGAAGCCCACUCAAUCCAAAGGAAAACCCUGAAACAAGUAAUUUUCAGACAAUGUCUAAAGGAUUGUCUACAAGUUUACCUGAUUUGGACUCUGAACCUUGGAUAGAAGUGAAGAAGAGGCAUCGCGCGUCCAUGGUCAAACUAAAGGAAAGUGUUCCUGUACCUGAUCAAACACCAGAUCGACAACAGCCACCUGUGCCUUCAGAGAAACAAGAACAAGAAGAACUUGAUUUUUUGCUUGAUGAAGAGAUGGAACAAAUGCAAGGUCGGAAGAAUAAAUUUACUGAUUGGUCAGACAGUGACUCCAGUUAUGAAAUGGACGAUCAGGACAUAAACAAGAUUUUGAUUGUAACACAGACACCACCGUAUAUGAGAAAACAUCCUGGUGGAGAUCGUACUGGCAACCACGUGUGCCGUGCAAAGAUUACAUCAGAACUUGCUAAAGUUAUUAACGAUGGCUUAUACUACUAUGAACAGGACUUGUGGAUGGACCAGAGUGAAAAUGACACUACGAUGAAGAUGAUAUCCAUUGCCGUGCUUCGUAUUUACAAUUUGCUUUCUCUAAUUCAGCAAGAGAUUGAGAACUUUAAGAAGCUAAAUCUCAUUAGUAAGGAAGAAUUUGAGAGUCUUGCACCAGAACCAACUGCUGACCCAACCCAAGAAGUUCCCCUAGUACCUCCAGUGUUACAGAAAGAUAUAGGAGAGGAGCUGGCUUUUAAUUUAAGUAUUGAAGCACCUCCAACCGCAGCAAUAGCUCGAUCGCUCCCAACAGCAGUUCCAGAUUCUCCCUGUGUUCACCCUGGCUUCACCCCGCGAACACCUCGCACCCCAAGGCUUCAGGAUCCCAACAAAACUCCCAGGUUCUACCCUGUUGUUAAAGAGGCACGAUCCAUUGAUGUAAAGACUCCCAGAAAAAGAAAAACACGACACAGUACAAAUCCUCCUUUAGAAUGCCACGUUGGUUGGGUGAUGGAUUCCAGGGAUCACAGGCCAAGAACUUCUUCUCUGAGCAGUUCCAAUGCUUCACCUUCAGAAGGAGCUCCACUAGCAGGAAGUUAUGGGUGUACCCCAAAUUCUCUUCCAAAAUUUCAGCAUCCUUCUCAUGAACUGUUAAAGGAAAAUGGCUUUACUCAACACGUGUACCACAAGUAUCGUCGAAGGUGUCUAACAGAGAGGAAACGGUUGGGAAUUGGCCAGUCCCAAGAGAUGAACACACUUUUUCGUUUCUGGUCCUUUUUUCUGAGAGAUCACUUUAACAGAAAAAUGUACGAAGAAUUCAAACAACUUGCUGUAGAUGAUGCAAAAGAACACUACAGAUAUGGAUUGGAAUGCUUGUUUAGAUUUUACAGCUAUGGCCUAGAGAAGAAAUUCAGGCAAGAAGUAUUCAAGGAUUUCCAAGAAGAAACCAAGAGAGACUACGAAGCUGGUCAGCUCUACGGACUGGAAAAAUUUUGGGCUUAUCUAAAGUACUCCCAGCACAAGACCCCAGCCAUUGACCCCAAACUGCAAGAAUACCUUAAUAAAUUUAAGAGACUGGAGGACUUCAGAGUGGAUCCUCCUAUUAGUGAAGAAUCUGGCAGAAAGAGACCAGUUGCUGCAACAGGUGAGGAUUCAGGUCCUCGCAGACAGCAGUCUACUACUUCUAAAACACUUCUUGCCACCAAACCCACAGCCACCUACCAGUCCCAGGCCCUGGGUUGCAUCACCAGUGGGAAUCCCUUGGCAGCAUCCACCAGCCCUGUCACCGCCGGCACAAAAUCCGCAGAAAGUGAUGUACCAGAAAAAUAAACUUCAGACAAGCUUGUGCCCUCGAGAAUCAAAUUCUAUGUCACACUUUCAAUUUGGAGAUCUUCAAGGCGAGCCAAUCUAAUACAUCAUUGAAAACAUAUGGGAUGAUAAAAGACUAGAUUUUGGUUUUGUCCACAGGAUUUAGUUCCGAAACACCCUAGGAGAGUUGCUCUUGGUUUUGGGAUCAUCAGAAGGCUCCUAGGGAAGAUUCUUUGGCUUCAGUAUUGCUUUCCUCAAGCUUUUGUUUACAAAGAACUGCAUUCCUUGCAUAUGCAAAAACCCACAAACUUUGGGGGAUGCCUUACAUUUCAGCUCGUAUUUCUUAAAAAAAGUGUGAAGAAAAGCAACUUGAAAUAGUGUGAAGGCUGUAGAUUUGCAUGUGAGUUCCUGUUGCUGCUGAUGCACCAAGGCCCAGAAGAACAGUUGGAGGACAGCACUGCCAGCCUAUACUUCAGUCUGCAACAGUCAACCAGGGGAGACCCCAGACUGCAGGAAGGCCCCAGGACUUCCUUACAAACAUGCUCUGAGAGCCAUUAAUGAAUUUCAGCAACACUUCACUAUGCAGUUGCUGAAUUAGUUGUGCUUCCUGAAAAACUACACAGCUUGGUCCUAAAUAAUGAAAACAAACCCCAAAGCAGAUCCAGGAAGACUAUUAUAUUCAAAGUACUAGGUCUUGAUCAAGAUUUUGUGCUAUUUUACUCAACAAUGCCUGUGUUUCCUGGAGGAAAUAAAACCUCACAGCCCUUGACUGCAGAGAAAACAGUUACCAAAGAGACUCAAACAAAGCAUGAGUAAGGCUUAAUUAUCCUUGACCUCCACAGUGAAGAUAGUAAAAUCAAACUGAUUUUGUAGGAAGAAAAACAAAUACCUCAAACUUUAGAAAAUAGCUUAGAUAUCUCCAGUGAAAUAAGAUCAGAAGCAGAGUGCCACACGACUUCUCCAUGCUGUGCCUGAGACUGAAGGAUAGAAAAUGUAAACAUGAGCAAAGUAGCUCUGUCUCAAUGAAAAGAUAUAGAAGCACGUGAAAGGAUUAUUCUGUAGUCUUUAGGAGUAAGGGCCAGAUGUUCAAAUAAUGUGGUACUUUUCUAAAAAAGAAUCAAGAAGGUUUAAAAAUAAUUUUCCUGCCACAAUAAAGCAUUUUUGGUAAAUGGUGUACAAAUGAGGCAGAAAUGGCAAAACAAAUGACUGCUGCAACUAGUUUAACACUGAGCCUAGUCUAGGAAAACAAAUCUCAUUUUGUUGCUGAAGAUAAGAAAUACUCACUACACGUCCCUCAUGUUGCUUAAACAAAAUUUAAUCUAUUGUCAGUAUCAAACUGCCUGUCAUUUUAGAUGAUAGUGGAUUUUGACCAAGGGCUUGACACAGAUGUUACAGGUUGAAUGUUUACAUAACAUUAUUACAUGAAUUGCACUGAAGUUUUGAUGGAGCUGACGUUCCUCUAGAAUAUUCUUGUACGUGUCAACUUUGUAUAAAAAUGAGGACUGCAAUGUACUUUACAGCACUUAUCUUGUCAGUGUUAAAUCACCAGUGACUUUGUAGGUAGGAGAAAUGUGAUUUAGACCCACUAGACAUCAAAAUACAGGAUUAAUACCUUGCUGCCACAGCAUGGAAGUUUUGUGUCCUUCACAGUUACCAAUUAGUAGCUCUAAAGCAAAACUUAUCCUUUACACAUCUUGCUGUUCAAUAGUAAAUCAUAAAAGUAGAAAUUUGAGCAUUGGCCUUUUAGAACAAUUUUUAAAAAACACAACCCCAACAGAACAAAACUUCACGUAACUUUGCUGUGAUGCUUCUUCACAGCAUUUCUUAGAGCAAGGGAAAGGACAAGGCUGCACUUGCACUAGGAGGUCACAGCAUAUACAAAUCUCCUUUUCUUUCUCCAGUAGGAAGUUUCUACAUAAACCAGAGAGCAGCAGAUAAACAGCUAAUGCUACAGCAAUACCAACAACCGCGGUGAGCACAGGGCAGAGUAACUCACAGCAAGCGUUAGGGACCUCUGGCCAUGACUUUGUGCAAUAGAAGGAAGCUGUAACACACAUGACAUGCAUUUUCAUGUGGCUGCCUGGGGAAAAACGACUGAUUGGGUUGUCCUAUGUAAUAGGUGGGUAAGGCUGCUUCUCGUGCUCUACAGCCAUGCAGAGCUCAGGGUCACGAUGAGAUGCAGCAGCUGGCACAAAAGCUGCAAGGGAAAGGCAUACUGUAAAUGAAGUGUACUGUAGAAUCGUCUGUAGUGAGAUUUAGAGAAAAACACUCCCUAGUGAAGCAUACACCUAAAGAACCAGUGCUUUAGUCCUAGCUCCUAGUCCAUGUGAGGAAGCUUUUCUUUGUCCCACUGCUCCAUCUACACCACACAGGUUGUUGUGGUUCAUUACCCUGGCACGCCCAGCUUUGCAGCCGUGUUAAGUGGUCAGCAGACAUAAGAGUGUGAAGGUGCAAAGGGAAGUCUGGCUGCGCCUCCAACGCUCGGCUGACAAGGACAGCGCCUACGUGGGAAGCGGCACUGUCCUGGACUCCAGGCAGCAGCCGGGCAGCCCUGUGCCCCAUGGGAUGGCUCAGCCAGUACACCAACCCACCAGCAGAGCCCAACUUCAGCUGAGCAGUGGCUCCUGUACUGGGAUUUCUUCCGUGAUAGAACUAUGCUAUUCCAAGCUUGGAGAUGCAAGAAUUCAAUCUGCUUUCUAGGACACGUAAGUUACACAUGAUUCAACAGAGGAUAUUUGUUUAUUUGUUCCAUUUACAUCGAUAUAAAUCUUUAAAAUAGUAAUAAAAAAGUAGUCAUCCCUGGAAUUUCACAAUUUACAGUUCAACAGAAGGUAUAUAUAGAAAUCUGUUACUGUAGACUUAUCACAGGUGAAGUCUGCAAAGGGAAGUACAGAGGUAAGCCAUAAAGCUGCAGGUCAUGAACUUAAUAGUGUUAUCCUUAGGAAUUUAGCAGAACAGACGGUGACGUUUCUGCAACACGUUGAGUGAUACCCACGUAUAGUUCUCCAGCCUUCUUGUCCUGUUAGCGCCAUGAGACAUUGUCCUAUUACUGCACGUUAUGCCAUUUCCUACCGUGCUUCUUCUCUGAAAUACAGCUUACCUGAGCGAGUCUUGAAGAGUCUUCAAAAGCUGUGAUUUGAAAAAAAAUACCACAAGGACAAGGAACAGAAUGAAUAGUGGUGGAUGUUUCAUAUCCAAGACUUCUUCCCCUUACUUGGUAUUGUGUCAUUUUCCAGCUUUGCUCAACAGCUUCUACAUAAAGUCUGACAGCACAUUUGGUAUUGUACAUGCUUUAUUAAAAUGGUACUCGUAUUUACAAUAUCUGCAGAAACAAUCCCUCCUGAGUCUUGCACUCAGACAGACACGCACACAUACGCACGCGCGCAGGCCCCUUCACUCUACCAGGGUGUGAAGGCUAUGCUCCCAAAAGUUAGGCAGCUUCUGG